GAUGAACGCUGGCGGUAUGCUUAACACAUGCAAGUCGAACGCAGACUUUCGGGUCUGAGUGGCGGACGGGUGAGUAACGCGUGAGAAUCUGGCUUCAGGUUGGGGACAACCACGGGAAACGGUGGCUAAUACCCAAUGUGCCGUUAAGGUGAAAGAUUAAUUGCCUGAAGAUGAGCUCGCGUCUGAUUAGCUAGUUGGUGGGGUAAGAGCUCACCAAGGCGACGAUCAGUAGCUGGUCUGAGAGGACGAUCAGCCACACUGGGACUGAGACACGGCCCAGAACCGAAGGUAGGCCGGGAUAGGGGAAGUUCCUGCAAUGGCCUAAAGCUAGAGGAAGAAUUGCCGCGGGAGGAAGGAAGGCCAUUGGUUGGAAACCCUAUUUUUUAAGGGAUGAAGGCAAGAACGUUCCUAGAGAAACAGACACCGCCGACUUCCUG
rnacentral:rRNA from 1 species